GGGCGGGCCCGGUGGGCGGGCCCGGCAGCGACCGCCGCUCGCUGGGCCCGCCCGGAGCGUGUCCGGAGCUAUCCGGGGCCUCCCGGUGCCUCCCGGUACCGGUGCAUCCCGGUGCAUCCCGGUGCAUCCAUGCAGCGGGAGGUGGGCACGCUGCCGCUGGCCCCCGUCCUCCGCGCCCGCCUCGCCGCCGCCGGCUUCCAGACGGCGCAGGAGCUGCUGGACACCGGGCCCUGCGGCCUGAGCAAAGAAAUUGGGAUCUCCAGGGAAGAGGCGCUGGAAGCGCUGCAGGUGGUGAGGCAGGAAUGUCACGGGCACGCAAGGACGGCUGAGGGAUCAAGUAGCACCAGAAAGUGCACAGCCCUGGAGCUUCUGGAAGAAGAGCAAAGCCAGGGCUUCAUCAUCACCUUCUGUUCAGCACUGGACAACAUCCUGGGAGGUGGAGUGCAGCUGACAAAAAUCACCGAGAUCUGCGGAGCACCCGGUGUUGGCAAAACACAGCUGUGCAUGCAGCUGGCAGUGGAUGUCCAGAUCCCGGAGUGCUUCGGGGGCGUUGCUGGAGAAGCUGUGUUCAUUGACACCGAGGGAAGUUUUAUGGUGGACAGAGUGGUGGAUAUUGCAGCUGCCUGUGUGCAGCACUGCCACCUUAUUGCUGAGGCUCAGCAAGAAGAGGAUCAUCAGAAAGCUUUGGAGACUUUCUCCUUGGAAAAUAUCCUCUCUCACAUCUAUUACUUCCGUUGUCGAGACUACACAGAGCUGCUGGCCCAGGUCUACCUCCUGCCAGAAUUCCUGUCAGAGCAUUCCAAGGUCCGGCUGGUGGUGAUUGAUGGAAUUGCCUUUCCCUUCCGCCACGACUUUGAGGACCUGUCCCUGCGCACGAGGCUGCUGAACGGGCUGGCACAGCAGCUCAUCAUCAUAGCCAACGACCACAGAGCAGCUGUAGUUCUGACAAACCAAAUGACAACAAGGAUUGGACAAAGCCAAUCCACAUUGGUACCUGCUUUAGGAGAAAGCUGGGGACACGCUGCCACCAUCCGUUUAAUCUUCCACUGGGACAACAGUCAGAGGUUGGCCACGUUGUACAAAUCACCGAGUCAGAAGGAGUCCACCAUAGCCUAUCACAUCACAAUCAAACUUUUCAGGCAGCCUGUCCCCAUCUGUUCUGCUGCUGGUGCUGCUUAUUUUAUCUGCCCCUGAAGUUAACUUUUGCCCUAAGUGCCGUAACCAAGAACAAUCUGAGCUGCAUUUUGGGAAACCUGAGCCAUUGUCUCCCUGGUCAGUCCCAUGGCUUCCGAGAUGUGCAGCCUCCAGCUGUCACUCCCAGCACAGAAGGGACUGAGCUGAACCCUCGGAAAAGGCCACGGACAGAGGAGGAGAAGCAACAGUGAUUCCAAAGUGGGAUGUUAAAGACCUGCAGGAGAGCAGUGGCCGAGUGAACGUGCAGCCAAAGGCAGUCUGAGAGACUCAACUUCAGUUCCUGCUCUGGACUUUAAUAUUAAGACUGCAGCGUGCAAAUUUCUAUGGCGUAAAAAUCCUUUGUAUAUGGCAUAAUUGUACUUUUAUAAUAAAAAUCUAUGUUUUCUAUAA